rnacentral:tRNA from 1 species
GGUGAUUUAGCUCAGUGGUAGAGCGCUUGCCUAGCAAGCACAAGGCCCUGGGUUCGGUCCUCAGCUCCA